AUUGAGCGCUGGCGGAAUGCUUUACACAUGCAAGUCGAACGGCAGCACGGACUUCGGUCUGGUGGCGAGUGGCGAACGGGUGAGUAAUGUAUCAGAACGUGCCCAGUCGUGGGGGAUAACGUAGUGAAAAUUACGCUAAUACCGCAUACGAUCUAUGGAUGAAAGCGGGGGAUCGCAAGACCUCGCGCGAUUGGAGCGGCCGAUAUCAGAUUAGGUAGUUGGUGGGGUAAAGGCCCACCAAGCCAACGAUCUGUAGCUGGUCUGAGAGGACGACCAGCCACACUGGAACUGAGACACGGUCCAGACUCCUACGGGAGGCAGCAGUGGGGAAUUUUGGACAAUGGGCGAAAGCCUGAUCCAGCCAUUCCGCGUGCAGGAUGAAGGCCCUCGGGUUGUAAACUGCUUCUGUACAGAACGAAAAGGUUUCUGCUAAUACUAGGAGCUCAUGACGGUACUGUAAGAAUAAGCACCGGCUAACUACGUGCCAGCAGCCGCCGUAA
rnacentral:rRNA from 1 species